AAUGGGUCAGCGACUUAUAUUCUGUAGCAAGGUUAACCGAAUAGGGGAGCCGGAGGGAAACCGAGUCUUAACCGGGCGUUAAGUUGCAGGGUAUAGACCCGAAACCCGGUGAUCUAGCCAUGGGCAGGUUGAAGGUUGGGUAACACUAACUGGAGGACCGAACCGACUAAUGUUGAAAAAUUAGCGGAUGACCUGUGGCUGGGGGUGAAAGGCCAAUCAAACCGGGAGAUAGCUGGUUCUCCCCGAAAGCUAUUUAGGUAGCGCCUCGUGAAUUCAUCUCCGGGGGUAGAGCACUGUUUCGGCUAGGGGGCCAUCCCGGCUUACCAACCCGAUGCAAACUGCGAAUACCGGAGAAUGUUAUCACGGGAGACACACGGCGGGUGCUAACGUCCGUCGUGAAGAGGGAAACAACCCAGACCGCCAGCUAAGGUCCCAAAGUCAUGGUUAAGUGGGAAACGAUGUGGGAAGGCCCAGACAGCCAGGAUGUUGGCUUAGAAGCAGCCAUCAUUUAAAGAAAGCGUAAUAGCUCACUGGUCGAGUCGGCCUGCGCGGAAGAUGUAACGGGGCUAAACCAUGCAC
rnacentral:rRNA from 1 species